rnacentral:rRNA from 1 species
UACAGAGGGUGCAAGCGUUGUUCGGAAUUAUUGGGCGUAAAGCGCGUGUAGGCGGCUUGGUAAGUCGGGUGUGAAAGCCCUCAGCUCAACUGAGGAAGUGCGCCCGAAACUACUAUGCUUGAGUGCCAGAGAGGAUGGCGGAAUUCCAGGUGUAGCGGUGAAAUGCGUAGAUAUCUGGAGGAACACCGGUGGCGAAGGCGGCAUCCUGGACCAACACUGACGCUGAGGAGCGAAAGCCAGGGGAGCAAACGGG